rnacentral:rRNA from 1 species
UCGCAGAGAAAUGGCCCAGGCGACUGUUUAACAAAAACACAGCACUAUGCAAAGCCGUCUAAGGCGAAGUAUAUGGUGUGAUGCCUGCCCAAUGCCAAAAGGUCAAAAGGAGAUGUUAGCAGCAAUGCGAAGCAUUGAAUUUAAGCCCUGGUGAAUGGCGGCCGUAACUAUAACGGUCCUAAGGUAGCGAAAUUCCUUGUCGGGUAAGUUCCGACCUGCACGAAUGGUAUAACGAUCUGGGCACUGUCUCAACGAGAGACUCGGUGAAAUUGUAGUAGCGGUGAAGAUGCCGUUUACCCGCGACAAGACGGAAAGACCCCGUGAACCUUUACUGUACUCUGAUAUUGGCUUUUGACUUGUCAUGUGUAGGAUAACCGGGAGACUUCGAAGUUCCAUCGUCAGGUGGAAUGGAGUCGCCGUUGAAAUACCGGUCUUGACAAGUCGGGAAUCUAACGAUAUCCCAUGAAUCUGGGAGUCGGACAUUGCCAGACGGGCAGUUUUGCUGG